GAAACUGCCGGGCUCGAGUGGGCGAGAAGUAUGCGGAAUGCGUGGUGUAGCGGUGAAAUGCAUAGAUAUCACGCAGAACCCCGAUUGCGAAGGCAGCAUACCGGCGCCCGACUGACGCUGAGGCACGAAAGUGCGGGGAUCAAACAGGAUUAGAUACCCUGGUAGUCCGCACAGUAAACGAUGAAUGCUAGCUGUCCGGGGGGAUUGACCCCUGGGUGGCACAGCGAAAGCGUUAAGCAUUCCACCUGGGGAGUACGCCGGCAACGGUGAAACUCAAAGGAAUUGACGGGGGCCCGCACAAGCGGAGGAACAUGUGGUUUAAUUCGAUGAUACGCGAGGAACCUUACCCGGGCUCAAACGCCGAAGGGACAUUCCCCGAAAGGGGAUUGGCCAGCAAUGGUCUUCGGCGAGGUGCUGCAUGGUUGUCGUCAGCUCGUGCCGUGAGGUGUCGGCUUAAGUGCCAUAACGAGCGCAACCCCCACCGACAGUUGCUAACUGGUCAAGCAGAGGACUCUGUCGGGACUGCCGGCGCAAGCUGCGAGGAAGGCGGGGAUGACGUCAAAUCAGCACGGCCCUUACGUCCGGGGCGACACACGUGUUACAAUGGCAGGUACAGCGGGAUGCCAUGGGGCGACCCAGAGCGGAACCCGAAAACCUGUCUCAGUUCGGAUUGGAGUCUGCAACCCGACUCCAUGAAGCUGGAUUCGCUAGUAAUCGCGCAUCAGCCACGGCGCGGUGAAUACGUUCCCGGGCCUUGUACACACCGCCCGUCAAGCCAUGGGAGCCGGGGGUGCCUGAAGGCCGUGACCGCGAGGAGCGGCCUAGGGUAAAACUGGUGACUGGGGCUAAGUCGUAACAAGGUAGCCGUAA
rnacentral:rRNA from 1 species